rnacentral:tRNA from 1 species
GUUCCGGUAGCUCAGGGGUAGAUGCGACAGAUUGCAAAUCUGUAGGUCGCGAGUUCAAAUCUCGCCCGGAACU